rnacentral:rRNA from 1 species
CCUACGGGCGGCAGCAGUGAGGAAUAUUGGUCAAUGGGCGGGAGCCUGAACCAGCCAAGUCGCGUGAGGGAAGACGGUCCUAUGGAUUGUAAACCUCUUUAGGCGGGGAGCAAUGCCGGGCACGCGUGCCCGGAGGGAGAGUACCCGCAGAAUAAGCAUCGGCUAACUCCGUGCCAGCAGCCGCGGUAAUACGGAGGAUGCGAGUGUUUUCCGGAUUUAUGGGGUUUAAGGGGUGCGUAGGCGGAUGUUUAAGUCAGCGGUAAAAUGUCCGGGCUCAACCCGGGCCGGCCGUUGAAACUGGGGAUCUUGAGUGGGCGAGAAGUAUGCGGAAUGCGUGGUGUAGCGGUGAAAUGCAUAGAUAUCACGCAGAACUCCGAUUGCGAAGGCAGCAUACCGGCGCCCGACUGACGCUGAGGCACGAAAGCGUGGGGAUCGAACAGGAUUAGAUACCCCUGUAGUC